GUAAAGACUUUUCAGCAGUGUAGGAAGGUGGGUAUGGUUAAUAGCAUAUUCAUUUGACGUUUAGCUGCAGAAGAAGCACCGGCUAACUCCGUGCCAGCAGCCGCGGUAAUACGGAGGGUGCGAGCGUUAAUCGGAAUUACUGGGCGUAAAGCGCAUGCAGGUGGUUUGUUAAGUCAGAUGUGAAAGCCCGGGGCUCAACCUCGGAAUUGCAUUUUGAAACUGGCAAACUAGAGUACUGUAGAGGGGGUAGGAAUUUCAGGUGUAGCGGUGAAAUGCGUAGAGAUCUGAAGGAAUACCGGUGGCGAAGGCGGCCCCCUGGACCAGAUACUGACACUCAGAUGCGAAAGCGUGGGGAGCAAACAGGAUUAGAUACCCUGGUAG
rnacentral:rRNA from 1 species